rnacentral:rRNA from 1 species
UAAACUCUGUCGUGCUGGGGAUAGAGCAUUGCAAUUAUUGCUCUUCAACGAGGAAUACCUAGUAAGCGCGAGUCAUCAGCUUGCGUUGAUUACGUCCCUGCCCUUUGUACACACCGCCCGUCGCUACUACCGAUUGAAUGGCUUAGUGAGGUCUCCGGAUUGGCUUUGGGGAGCCGGCAACGGCACUCUAUCGCUGAAAAGCUGAUCAAACUUGGUCAUUUAGAGGAAGUAAAAGUCGUAACAAGGUUUCCGUAGGUGAACCUGCGGAAGGAUCAUUAUUGAAGUCUGGUUGUUGCUGGCCUUUCUUGGGGCAUGUGCACGCCUUAUUCAAACCCACCUGUGCACCUUUUGUAGACUUGUGUUUGUCUGCCGAUAAUUAUUUACUCCCGUAUUUAGAAUGUAUUGAUUGGCCUCAGUGCCUUUAAUCAAAUAAUACAACUUUCAGCAACGGAUCUCUUGGCUCUCGCAUCGAUGAAGGACGCAGCGAAACGCGAUAAGUAAUGUGAAUUGCAGACACGUGAAUCAUCGAAUCUUUGAACGCACCUUGCGCUCCUUGGUGAUCUGAGGAGCAUGCCUGUUUGAGUGUCAUUAAAUUCUCAACCUAACCAGCUUUUGUGAGCUGGGAUAUAGGCUUGGAUUGUGGGGGCUUUGCUGGCUUCAACCAAAGUCAGCUCCCCCUAAACGCAUUAGUGGAACGAUUUUGUUGACCUUGUUCCUGGUGUGAUAAAACCUUUAUCACCACCGUGUGCAGUCAGCUUACUCUGCUUCUAACAACGUUUAUUAAACUCUUGACCAUUUGACCUCAAAUCAGGUAGGACUACCCGCUGAACUUAAGCAUAUCAAUAAGCGGAGGAAGAGAAACUAACAAGGAUUCCCCUAGUAACUGCGAGUGGAGCGGGAAAAGCUCAAAUUUAAAAUCUGGCUAGCUUCGCUGCCCGAGUUGUAAUCUAGAGAAGCAUUAUCAGCGCUCGCGGCGUGUACAAGUGUCCUGGAAUGGACCAUCAUAGAGGGUGACAAUCCCGUCUUUGACAUGGCUGCCUUUAGUGCUAUUGAUGUGCUCUCAACGAGUCGAGUUGUUUGGGAAUGCAGCUC